rnacentral:rRNA from 1 species
AGUCAUAUCUACCCGUACCGCAAACCGACACAGGUAGUCGAGGCGAGUAGCCUCAGGUGAUCGAGAGAACUCUCGUUAAGGAACUCGGCAAAAUAGCCCCGUAACUUCGGGAGAAGGGGUGCUGGUGUAAAAGCCAGCCGCAGUGAAUAGGCCCAAGCGACUGUUUAGCAAAAACACAGCUCUCUGCUAAACCGCAAGGUGAUGUAUAGGGGGUGACGCCUGCCCGGUGCUGGAAGGU